UGAGGCCUCCGACGUGACACAACAUCCUGCAGCGGUGUUGUGUGACCUGCAGUGUCCGUCGCUGGCCUCG
rfam:Penicillium flavigenum strain IBT 14082 PENFLA_contig034, whole genome shotgun sequence.